rnacentral:rRNA from 1 species
AUACGUAGGUGGCAAGCGUUAUCCGGAAUUAUUGGGCGUAAAGAGGGAGCAGGCGGCAGCAAGGGUCUGUGGUGAAAGCCUUAAGCUUAACUUCAGUAAGCCAUAGAAACCAGGCAGCUAGAGUGCAGGAGAGGAUCGUGGAAUUCCAUGUGUAGCGGUGAAAUGCGUAGAUAUAUGGAGGAACACCAGUGGCGAAGGCGACGAUCUGGCCUGCAACUGACGCUCAGUCCCGAAAGCGUGGGGAGCAAAUAGGAUUAGAUACCCUAGUAGUCCACGCCGUAAACGAUGAGUACUAAGUGUUGGAUGUCAAAGUUCAGUGCUGCAGUUAACGCAAUAAGUACUCCGCCUGAGUAGUACGUUCGCAAGAAUGAAACUUAAAGGAAUUGGCGGGG